rnacentral:rRNA from 1 species
UACGAAGGGGGCUAGCGUUGUUCGGAAUUACUGGGCGUAAAGCGCACGUAGGCGGAUAUUUAAGUCAGGGGUGAAAUCCCAGAGCUCAACUCUGGAACUGCCUUUGAUACUGGGUAUCUUGAGUAUGGAAGAGGUAAGUGGAAUUGCGAGUGUAGAGGUGAAAUUCGUAGAUAUUCGGAAGAACACCAGUGGCGAAGGCGACUUGACUGGACACAGUAUUGACGC